rnacentral:rRNA from 1 species
AUCUGGAGGAAUACCGGUGGCGAAGGCGGCCCCCUGGACAAAGACUGACGCUCAGGUGCGAAAGCGUGGGGAGCAAACAGGAUUAGAUACCCUGGUAGUCCACGCCGUAAACGAUGUCGAUUUGGAGGUUGUGCCCUUGAGGCGUGGCUUCCGGAGCUAACGCGUUAAAUCGACCGCCUGGGGAGUACGGCCGCAAGGUUAAAACUCAAAUGAAUUGACGGGGGCCCGCACAAGCGGUGGAGCAUGUGGUUUAAUUCGAUGCAACGCGAAGAACCUUACCUGGUCUUGACAUCCACAGAACUUUCCAGAGAUGGAU